UACGAAGGGUGCAAGCGUUAUCCGGAUUCACUGGGUUUAAAGGGUGUGUAGGCGGGCUUGUAAGUCAGGGGUGAAAUCCUACAGCUUAACUGUAGAACUGCCUUUGAUACUAUAAGUCUUGAAUAUUGUUGAGGUAGGCGGAAUACAUCAUGUAGCGGUGAAAUGCUUAGAUAUGAUGUAGAACACCGAUUGCGAAGGCAGCUUACUAAGCGAAUAUUGACGCUGAGGCACGAAAGCGUGGGGAUCAAACAGG
rnacentral:rRNA from 1 species